UACGUAGGGUGCAAGCGUUGUCCGGAAUUAUUGGGCGUAAAGAGCUCGUAGGCGGUUUGUCACGUCGCUGUGAAACCCUGGGGCUCAACCCCGGGCCUGCAGCCGAUACGGGCUGACUAGAAUUCGGUAGGGGAGUCUGGAAUUCCUGGUGUAGCGGUGAAAUGCGCAGAUAUCAGGAGGAACACCGGUGGCGAAGGCGGGACUCUGGGCCGAUAUUGACGCUGAGGAGCGAAAGCGUGGGGAGCGAACAGG
rnacentral:rRNA from 1 species